rnacentral:lncRNA from 1 species
CAAAGUGUAAAUCGAGAGAACAGACGGUAGAACAGCGAACUCAUCUCCCCUGUUUUUCGAAGGAAAUCACAGUUUUUCAAAGAAGGUAAACAAUAUAUGGUUGCAUAUCUCUCUCUCUAUCUCCCCUGUUUUCAAAUAAGGUAAACCCUAAAUCGAAUGACGAACUCUACGAAGUGGAAGAAGAAACCCAGAAGGUCAACCCUAAAUCGAAAGGGCAAAUGAAGCGUUUCAGCAGCUAAAUCGAAAGGGCAAAUGAAGCGUUUCAGCAGCUAAAUCGAAAGGGCAAAUGAAGCAUUUAGUCUGAUAAGGUAUUUGUAAGACAAAUGACUUUCUUUACUCAUUAUUUUCUUUGCAAAAUCAUACUGCACACUGUAUUUUCUUGAUGCACAUAGUAUUUUCUUGCUGCACACAAUUUUUGUAGGGCAUUGAAAUCAUGCUGCACACAGUAUUUUUUUUGCAAAAUAACCACCG